CUACGGGUUGCUCCAGUGGGGAAUAUUGCACAAUGGGCGCAAGCCUGAUGCAGCAACGCCGCGUGGGGGACGAAGGCCUUCGGGUUGUAAACCUCUUUUAGUAGGGAAGAAGCGCAAGUGACGGUACCUACAGAAAAAGCACCGGCUAACUACGUGCCAGCAGCCGCGGUAAUACGUAGGGUGCAAGCGUUGUCCGGAAUUAUUGGGCGUAAAGAGCUCGUAGGCGGUUUGUCGCGUCUGCUGUGAAAAUCCGAGGCUCAACCUCGGACCUGCAGUGGGUACGGGCAAACUAGAGUGCGGUAGGGGAGAUUGGAAUUCCUGGUGUAGCGGUGGAAUGCGCAGAUAUCAGGAGGAACACCAAUGGCGAAGGCAGAUCUCUGGGCCGUAACUGACGCUGAGGAGCGAAAGCGUGGGGAGCGAACAGGAUUAGAUACCCCUGUAGUC
rnacentral:rRNA from 1 species